AUUGAGACCGAAAUCGCUCUGAAUGUGGCUGAACUCGUUGGAUCUUUGAAGCACAAUCAGGCGUGAGCCUGGUUAAUACUCGGAUUGGAGACUGCCUGGGUAUGCCAUGCACUCUAUG
rnacentral:rRNA from 1 species